CUUGGGGGAAUCUUGGAAAUCCAAAUGCAAACCCUAAGGUAUAUCCAGUUACACACAGUUACCAAGAUAGCAUGAAGACUAGCCUGGUGACAAACAGGACUGCCUCAUGUGUAGUUCUGGAUGAGUUUGAGGAGGCUGAGAACCACAAGAACAAGAAGUCAACAAGUUGGGAUGACUCCCC